CCUACGGGUGGCUGCAGUGAGGAAUAUUGGUCAAUGGGCGAGAGCCUGAACCAGCCAAGUCGCGUGAGGGAGUACUGCCCUAUGGGUUGUAAACCUCUUUUGUCGGGGAGCAAAAGCCGGACGGGGCCGGCUGUGAGAGUACCCGAAGAAAAAGAAGCGGCUAACUCCGUGCCAGCAGCCGCGGUAAUACGGAGGAUGCGAGCGUUAUCCGGAUUUAUUGGGUUUAAAGGGUGCGUAGGCGGGACCUUAAGUCAGCGGUAAAAUUGCGGUGCUCAACGCCGUAGAGCCGUUGAAACUGGUGUUCUUGAGUGAGCGAGAAGUAUGCGGAAUGCGUGGUGUAGCGGUGACAUGCAUAGAUCUCACGCAGAACCCCGAUUGCGAAGGCAGCAUACCGGCGCUCACCUGACGCUGAGGCACGAACGUGCGGGUAUCGAACAGGAUUAGAUACCCGAGUAGUC
rnacentral:rRNA from 1 species